rnacentral:rRNA from 1 species
AACGAACGCUGGCGGCAGGCCUAACACAUGCAAGUCGAGCGCCCAGCAAUGGGAGCGGCAGACGGGUGAGUAACACGUGGGAACCUUCCCUAUAGUACGGAAUAGCCCAGGGAAACUUGGAGUAAUACCGCAUACGCCCGAGAGGGGAAAGAUUUAUCGCUAUAGGAUGGGCCCGCGUAGGAUUAGCUAGUUGGUGAGGUAAUGGCUCACCAAGGCGACGAUCCUUAGCUGGUCUGAGAGGACGACCAGCCACACUGGGACUGAGACACGGCCCAGACUCCUACGGGAGGCAGCAGUGGGGGAAUAUUGGACAAUGGGCGCAAGCCUGAUCCAGCCAUGCCGCGUGAGUGAUGAAGGCCUUAGGGUUGUAAAGCUCUUUUGCCGGGGGACGAUAAUGACGGUACCCGGAGAAUAAGUCCCGGCUAACUUCGUGCCAGCAGCCGCGGUAAU